rnacentral:lncRNA from 1 species
AUUAUCUUCAGACGUCUUGCGGAGGACUCCUGUUACCAGUUUGGUACUCAAAAGCUACACCCCACCAUGAGAAGUCACUUAUCUUUUAAAAGGCAGUGAUAGAUUGCCCUCUCUAGCUCUAAUGGAAAAAUUAUAUUGCAAUGCAACUUUAUAAUAAAUUGUUCAUAUAUUCAUAAUUCUGUUGCAAGCCCAAAUUGGAGAACAGAUCUGUUAAAGGCUGUUUCUUGUACGACAUACUAAGCCACAUAAUGUUUAAUUUAACACUCUCAACACUAGGAAAGGACGCAUUUCCUGGGUACAAGACAUGCUGAGGUCUCAUAUUUCCCAUCCAUGCUACAACUCCUAUG